AAUCAUGUCUCCCAGCUGCAAGGCUGGUGCAGGCGUUUAACCCUUUGUGAACCAAAAAACCUUUCGCUUCGGCAGCAGCUUGGUUGGAGACAGCCUCUGUGUCAGCCUGCCGGUAGCACCAAAUAUCAAAACUUGCAGUUAGCAACAUUGUCUGAUUACCAAAUUUUCGAAUGAAAAUUAAAACUUUCAACAACGGAUCUCUUGGUUCC
rnacentral:misc_RNA from 1 species